UUAUAUGCUUCAUUUUAUUUAUAUAAAAAUGGCAUGUUUCGUUAUUUUUAACAAACUGCCCUUGUUAGAUUGUUUGCUUUUUUUGCUUUAUCAGUUAUUAUUAAAUGUAAGACUAUUAUAGUGGAGUAGAGCCUAUAUUUUAAUCUUUGUUCCUCUGUCUAUCAAUCCCUCCCAUCAAAGUAGUUAGUCCCACUUUUAUGAGGUACUUUUGUUUAGAAAAACUUCAUAUGUGGCCAGUAGCUAGACAGGGAAGAGCUUUCAUGUGUGAGAGCAUUUCAGACAAUCAUUUAUUCUUGUUCUGUUAGAGAUUCACUAUGUAUAGUUGAUUUUUUUGUUAGAUAAUCAUAAUUAGUCCAGUUUGUUUUCCUGGUAGUUUGCUCAAUAUUCCAAUGAAUAAUAUGAUGUUUCUGUUAAUUGGUAUCUUGUAAUGAUUUUUUUUGCAGAUUUAUAGCCCAACUAACCCUUAGACCCAUGUGCGCCUUUGCCAUCUAUUUGUAUUCUUUAUAAGUUGUCUUCUUAACUUUGCUAUCUGUUUGUAUUCUUCAUAAGUUGUCUUCUAAACUGUGCCAUCUAUCUGUAUUCUUCAUACGUUGUCUUCUUAAACUUUUUUCUGUAUGUAUAUCUAUAAAUCGAUUACACCUGUAUGCAGCAGAAAUAAUCUGCAAAAAAUGAAUUAAAAAUAUAUCUAUAAACAAAAACAUAGAACAACUUCUUAUAGCAGUUAUAUAAAUAAUUAGACCCUUGUCAGUCCUAUCAGAUUAAUUUUUAAGAGUUGAAUGAUUCAGGCUCUAAGGUGCCUUUUGAUUAACGUUAUAACAUAUACAUUUUUGUCUUUCCAUGCUUUGAUUUUCCAAUGUAUCAAGAAAUCACAUAUGAGGGAUACAAUAUUUAUUGUGGGUUACCAAUUUUCAAGAAUCAAUUCCUCAAUAUAUAUAAAGGUUUUUAUAUAGGUUAGGCUGUUGGUUUUCCCGUUUGAAUGGUUUUACACUAGUAAUUUUGGGGCCCUGUAUAGGUUGUUGUUCUGUUUGAGCCAAGGCUCCGUGUUGAAGGCCGUACAUUGACCUAUAAUGGUUUACUUUUAUAAAUUGUUAUUUGGAUUUAGAGUUGUCUCAUUGGCACUCACACAACAUCUUCCUAUAUCUAUAUAAAAGACAACUUCAAAUGUAUGAAUUUUCUAAAGGCUUUGAUGCAGAGUUUGGCAAAGCUAUGACAUUUAAUAUCAAUAAAAAAAAUUACUCAAUCUUCUAAAUUAGUUUUUUUUUAUAUUUUAAAUCAAUGAAAACAGAAACUGAUUUUUACAGCUUAAUCUCUAAGUAUAAAUAUAGUGUUUUACUAUUACUUUCCUUUUCUACAAUUUUUCACUUUAAGUAUUUUCAACAAAUGCUACAUUUUUU
rnacentral:lncRNA from 1 species